AGUAGUACCUGCCCAGUGCGUAUUAUCUUGUUAACGGCCGCCUUAGCGUGAGGGUGCUAAGGUAGCGAAAUUCCUUGCCUUUUAAUUGUAGGCCAGCAUGAAUGGUUUGACGAGGGCCUCACUGUCUCUUAGUUCUAUGUUGAAAUUGUAGUGUAGGUGAAGAUACCUUCAUAAAAAAGUAAGACAAAAAGACCCCGUGCAACUUUGAAAAUUAAGCUAGAUUAAAUGGCAAAAGAUUUUUAGGUGGGGCGCCAAAAGAGGAAACUAUAACCUCUGCUGUUUAAGCUAAUUCUUACUGGAGUUGACCUGACUUAAGUCGAUCAAAGGAGAAGUUACSCCGGGGAUAACAGGCCAAUUCUUUAGUAAAGCUCGUAUUAACUAAAGGGCUUGGCACCUCGAUGUUGAAUCAGGGAUUAUAGCUUCAAGGCGUAGAUGCUUUGAUUAGUAGGUCUGUUCGACCUUUGAAACCCUACGUGAUCUGA
rnacentral:rRNA from 1 species